GUGUUGCAAGGAAGUAAUCUGCAGUUCUGGGUGAAGGAAAGCAUGUUUGGGGUUAUAGAGAUAGGUAGCCUACAAUUACUCUCUAGGAGGUGGGCGUUUAGGCUGGAAAAUCCAGAGAAGAGGGGGAUCCAGAAAGGUAGAAAAGGCAGCAAGGUAUGGGAUAGGGCAGACAGUGGCUGCUGAUGAGAGGGCCCCUGAGCUGGAACCUAGGGCAGGACCGGGUUCCCCUAACAGCCACUGGGAAAAUGAAAUGGACUAGAGAACAGGAAGCAGACUAUCUGGGACAGUUGCUCUUGGAAGACUUGAAUACCACAGAAGGGGAAGACCAUAGUGACUUGCAUGGAGGGCCAAGUCACACAGAGCAAGAUGCAGCUCCUGGAGUGAGAGAGAGCCUGUAGAGUGCAGCAGUGAGAGGACCCUGUGACAACAUUGUAUUUAUUUAUUUUUUGGAAGAAGCUGACAAAUCCCCUAUAGCACAUAACUUGGCUGUAGAAGGUUACAAUUUUGAUACGUUUCAGCAUUCCAGGAGAGACGAGAACAGGGAUAGUAAAAAUGUUGCAAUCUUCUGAGGGUGAAAUGAUUGUUGCGACUAACUUUUUUUUCUUCAGACAGCCACAGUAUUCUACAUCUGUGUUCUGUUCCCUUCCUCACCCCGGGUGUAACUCCCUCUUCAAUUCCUAUCACCCGCCACUUCCCCCAUUCUGCAUGUCUCCUGUUUGUAAGGGGGAGGUAAGAUCAGGGUAAAGGGAGAAGCUCUGAAACUGUGUAACCUUCCAAGGGACAGGAGACUGCUUUACUAAAUUUAGACAACCAACUAUAAGUUUUCCACAACUGUCCUAUUCCCAGCUGGGACCUUUCCAAUCCUCCCCUCCCUUGCCUCUGCCUGCAUAGUCCUAGGACCAUGGCUGCUGGCUGAGAAAUGCAGACACGAGGGUACAAUGAUUUUUUUCCUUAAUCUAUUUUUAAAAGUGCUUUUAGAAGCUGCAUGCAUGAUGAUGGCGUUUAACCAGAAAUCAACAGAACAAAUUUCCGUCACUUGGCUGUAUCUCUAUCAGAGGUAGAAAAAGAGGUCUCUUCCAGUUAUGGAGCUAACCCAGAACUAAAAUAUAAGAAAAUGGAAGCUUUGGAACUUGGGAUUUGAACUGACAACCCCUGAAAUGUGGCAGUACAGUAUUCAGAUUUGAUGUUCUGGUUUAGACCCUUCUCUCACAUUGAUUUGAGGAAGAGAGGAGAAAUGGAAGACAAAGUAAUGGCAUUUUAGUAGGAAGCUCCCCUGCUGGUUCCUAUGGCUCUCCUCUCUUGUUGAUGUCGCUAUCUCCUGAUGAGCCUUAGGCUCAGUAUACAAAUAGACCUGCAUUCUGAGGUGGACAAUACCCACUACACAUUGACCAAAAAGCAGGCGAGAUUGGCUACAGCUCUGCUUCUGAAAUCAGCAGCUCAUUCCCUCAGACCUGGCAGGAAAGCUGACAGUGAAUGUUGUCGUUCUACUCAUCAUUUUCACCCUGCAGCUCUCUAUCAACUUGAAAGAGCUCUGUGCAUACAGGAGGCCUCAGUUAAUUUCUUUUUCAGCUGCUGGUGACUUAGCAGGAGAUCAUCUGUGUGUGGCUGUUACACAGAAUGGAACAGUGGAAAUGAAAGGAGGAUGACCGACCAACCCUGCCUGCCCAGUGCUCUCAACUCUCUGUGUCUGGCUGGGCCCCUGGGACGGACGCGCAUCUCCCAGUACCAGGCGCUAUGUCUUUACUGAGGCAAUGCUGGGGGUGGGGGUACAGAAGGGCCUGUGGGAUCAUAUUCUCCCCCCCCCCCCCAUUUCUGCCAGGAUUCACAUCAGAACAUGGCCAGCAGCACCCUUUUGGCGCUGUGCGGAAGGGAAGGGGCAGGAGCUGCUUCCAGCCACGGGGGAGGAUAGGGGACAAUCCAGCCUGUGUCUUUGCAGAGCUCAUCCCUUCCUGCAUACACAGUGUAAAAAGGCAGCUAACACCCCCAGGCUGCUGCUGGCCACCAACAUAACCCAGAUGCCUCCUGUCCCCCAGCUACAGCAAAGGCAGGAAGGGGUUAAGGCCAGGGAACCUGGCUGCAAGGGCUUCAGCGGCCAUGGAGCCUGGCCAGUGAGCUGGCUCUGCGGGAGAGGGUGCUUAGGGGAUGGAGCAGCUCUGAGUUCCUGGGGGAGGGACCUAGGGUGGUGGGGGAGGGAGCGGGUGAAGUGGGUGCUAAGCCCCUGCCUGGGGGGGCUGCUGUAGAGCCUGCAGGUUCAGGGUGGGAACAGGCUGGAAAUCGCUCCGCACCCCCCGCACUUCCAGUGCCGCAGGUGCUGCGCUGAUGGAUUGUUGAGGGGAGCAGCUGGCCCCUCGUGCUGCAGUUUCACCCUUCCACCAGCUUUGCACACCCACUCCCAUUGUUGGCCAAUGGAUUUGAGGGGGGAUGGGAGGCAGAAAAUAUGGGACAAUUUGCCAAUUUUUAAGAAAACGUUGGGACACCUGCAGGAGGCCUUCAACACUGGACUGUCCUGUUCAAAACAGGACAUCUGGUCACCCUAAUCAGUAGCCCAUCUGUGUCCAACUAUGGUACCUGGAGCAUAGAGUGCUGAAGAAAGAGAAAAAUACCCAGCAGUGACAGACAUCCUGUCUUUUAAGUCCCUAUGGAUGAGAUUUUUAAAGCAUUCAGGAUUAGUUUAGCUCCGCUCCCAUUGAAAUCAAUGCUAAAAUGCCUCUGACUUUAUGGGAGCGGAAUUAGGCCAAUGGAAAAGUCUCACCCUAAAUGUAAUAAAUGCACCAUCCUCAUUCAC